AACGACUCUCGGCAACGGAUAUCUCGGCUCUCGCAUCGAUGAAGAACGUAGCGAAAUGCGAUACUUGGUGUGAAUUGCAGAAUCCCGUGAACCAUCGAGUCUUUGAACGCAAGCUGCGCCUGAAGCCUUCUGGCCGAGGGCACGUCUGCCUGGGCGUCACGC
rnacentral:rRNA from 2 species